rnacentral:rRNA from 1 species
CCUACGGGAGGCUGCAGUGGGGAAUAUUGGACAAUGGGCGGAAGCCUGAUCCAGCAACGCCGCGUGAGGGAUGACGGCCUUCGGGUUGUAAACCUCUUUCACCAUUGACGCGGUAGGUGGGGAAGAAGCACCGGCCAACUACGUGCCAGCAGCCGCGGUAAUACGUAGGGUGCGAGCGUUGUCCGGAAUUAUUGGGCGUAAAGGGCUCGUAGGCGGUUUGUCGCGUCGGGAGUGAAAACACUGGGCUUAACCCAGUGCUUGCUUUCGAUACGGGCAGACUAGAGGUAUGCAGGGGAGAACGGAAUUCCUGGUGUAGCGGUGAAAUGCGCAGAUAUCAGGAGGAACACCGGUGGCGAAGGCAGUUCUCUGGGCAUGUCUGACGCUGAGGAGCGAAAGUGUGGGGAGCGAACAGGAUUAGAUACCAUUGUAGUC